rnacentral:rRNA from 1 species
GCGAGAAUAUUCGACAAUGGACGAAAGUCUGAUCGAGCGACGCCGCGUGUACGAUGAAGUUUUUCGGAAUGUAAAGUACUUUUAUGAGGGAAGAACGUUGACGGUACCUCAUGAAUAAGUGGUUGCUAACUCUGUGCCAGCAGCAGCGGUAAUACAGAGACCACAAGCGUUAUCCGGAAUUAUUGGGCGUAAAGGGUGAGUAGGUGGUAUUGUUAGUCGGGUUUGAAAGAUCGUGGGCUCAACCCAUGAUAUGGACCCGAAACGGCAAAACUAGAAUAUGUAAGAGGUUAGUGGAACUAUAUGUGUAGGGGUAAAAUCCGUUGAUAUAUAUGGGAACACCUAAAGCGAAGGCAGCUAACUGGUACAUUAUUGACACUGAAUCACGAAAGCGUGGGUAGCGAUACGGAUUAGAUACCCAAGUAGUCCCUGAGCGGGCUGGCAAGGCGCAU